rnacentral:rRNA from 1 species
GACGAACGCUGGCGGCGUGCUUAACACAUGCAAGUCGAACGGAGUGGCGAACGGGUGAGUAACACGUGGGUGACCUGCCCUGCACUUCGGGAUAAGCCUGGGAAACUGGGUCUAAUACCGGAUAGUGUGGGAUGGGCCCGCGGCCUAUCAGCUUGUUGGUGGGGUAAGGGCUUACCAAGGCGGCGACGGGUGGCCGGCCUGAGAGGGUGGACGGCCGCAGUGUGCCUGGGACACGAGCCAGACGGCAACGGGAGGCAGCAGUGGGGGUUAUUGCGCGAAUGGCGGAAGCCUGGUGCAGCGACGCCGCGUGGGGGAUGACGGCCUUCGGGUUGUAAACUCCUUUCGCCUGCGACGCGGUAUAUGAAGAGGAAGGACCGGCUAACUACGUGCCAGCCGCCGCGGUAAUUC